AACUAUAACAGUCGAUGAUGAAAGGCUUUUGAUACACAACUCGUCCUUAUAGUUAUCCUCGCAUAGCUGGGUUUAUUCUUGGCUUUGCCUGGGUCGUUGAGGAUUGCACUGUGGCCACUUCACCACCUUAAUAGCGGUGCUUAACUCAAUACCGAGGCUG
rnacentral:snoRNA from 1 species